GUUUGUGUAGCUUAAUUAAGAGCUUAAUAUUGAAGAUAUUAAAGUAAACUAUGUUUCUCAAACA
rnacentral:tRNA from 1 species